rnacentral:rRNA from 1 species
GUGUCAGCAGCCGCGGUAAGACGAGGGGUGCGAGCGUUAUUCGGAAUUAUUGGGCGUAAAGGGUGCGUAGACGGCAUACUAAGUCUGUUGUUAAAUCUCCCGGCUUAACCGGGAAUCAGCGAUGGAUACUGAUAUGCUAGAGGGUGGAAGAGAGAAGUGGAAUUCUCGGAGUAGCGGUAAAAUGCGUAGAUCUCGAGAGGAACACCAAUGGCGAAGGCAGCUUCUUAGUCCAUUUCUGACGUUGAGGCACGAAAGCGUGGGGAGCAAACAGGAUUAGAUACCCCGGUAGUCC